rnacentral:rRNA from 1 species
AGUUCAGGACGAACGCUGGCGGCGUGCCUAAUACAUGCAAGUCGAACGGUCUUUCUAUGGAAGCUUGCUUCCACUGAGAAGAUAGUGGCGAACGGGUGAGUAACACGUGGGUAACCUGCCCAUAAGAGGGGGAUAACAUCCGGAAACGGGUGCUAAUACCGCAUAGUUUUCUUGAUUGCAUGAUUGAGAAAGGAAAGACGGCCUUUGUGCUGUCGCUUAUGGAUGGACCCGCGGCGUAUUAGUUAGUUGGUGAGGUAACGGCUCACCAAGACGAUGAUACGUAGCCGACCUGAGAGGGUGAUCGGCCACAUUGGGACUGAGACACGGCCCAAACUCCUACGGGAGGCAGCAGUAGGGAAUCUUCCGCAAUGGACGAAAGUCUGACGGAGCAACGCCGCGUGAGUGAAGAAAAGGUUUUCGGAUCGUAAAACUCUGUUGUCAGAGAAGAACAAGUUGGAGAGUAACUGCUCCAGCCUUGACGGUAUCUGACCAGAAAGCCACGGCUAACUACGUGCCAGCAGCCGC